GACAGAGGUGCCAAGCGUUAGGCGGAAUCACUGGGCUUAAAGCGUGUGUAGGCGGAUCGUUAAGUGCCUUGUGAAAUCCCACGGCUUAACCGUGGAACUGCUCGGCAUACUGGCGGUCUUGAGCCAGCUAGGGGCUACCGGAACAAAUGGUGGAGCGGUGAAAUGCGUAGAUAUCAUUUGGAACGCCAAUGGUGAAAACAGGUAGCUGGGGCUGUGCUGACGCUGAGACACGAAAGCCAGGGGAGCGAACGGG
rnacentral:rRNA from 1 species